GUAGCCCAGGAAUGAGAAUUACCCCCAUGAUGGCAUACCAUUUGCAAAAGUAGACAACCCAAGGUAUUACAAAUGGGGUAUGUCCAGUCUUUUUUAGUAGCCGCUUGGUCACAAACACUGGCCAAAUUUAGUGUUAAGAAAACAAAAGGUAGGUUAGCGCUAAUAAUACAGUAGAUAGGCAGCGGCCUGACAGAGGGUAACCCUCUAACCCUCUACAGUAAAGGUAUACAACAAGAGAAAAGAGAGGCUGCGCCAAAAGAAGGUAUAUAAAAGUAGUCCCAAUGUAUGUUUGAGGUUGAACUGUAGUGAAAAUUGUCUUAAGCAAUAUUUCAGCUGGUGGAGUAUCUUCUCUGUUUAUAGUAGUUCUGAUCGUCUCGUGAUAUGGAAGACACAAGAAGAGAGGACCAAUCAUGCG